UGGGGAAUUUUGGGCAAUGGGCGAAAGCCUGACCCAGCAACGCCGCGUGAAGGAUGAAGUAUUUCGGUAUGUAAACUUCGAAAGAAUAGGAAGAAUAAAUGACGGUACUAUUUAUAAGGUCCGGCUAACUACGUGCCAGCAGCCGCGGUAAUACGUAGGGACCAAGCGUUGUUCGGAUUUACUGGGCGUAAAGGGCGCGUAGGCGGCAAUUCAAGUCAUCUGUGAAAUCUCCGGGCUUAACUCGGAACGGUCAGAUGAUACUGCUUUGCUAGAGUGCAGAAGGGGCAAUCGGAAUUCUUGGUGUAGCGGUGAAAUGCGUAGAUAUCAAGAGGAACACCUGAGGUGAAGACGGGUUGCUGGGCUGACACUGACGCUGAGGCGCGAAAGCCAGGGGAGCAAACAGGAUUAGAUACCCCAGUAGUCCCUGAGCGGGCUGGCAAGGCGCAU
rnacentral:rRNA from 1 species